rnacentral:rRNA from 1 species
UGAUGCAGCCAUGCCGCGUGUGUGAAGAAGGCCUUCGGGUUGUAAAGUCAGUUGUGAGGAAAAGUUAGUAGUUAAUACCUGCUAGCCGUGACGUUAACAACAGAAGAAGCACCGGCUAACUCCGUGCCAGCAGCCGCGGUAAUACGGAGGGUGCGAGCGUUAAUCGGAAUUACUGGGCGUAAAGCGCACGCAGGCGGUUUGUUAAGCUAGAUGUGAAAGCCCCGGGCUCAACCUGGGAUAGUCAUUUAGAACUGGCAGACUAGAGUCUUGGAGAGGGGAGUGGAAUUCCAGGUGUAGCGGUGAAAUGCGUAGAUAUCUGGAGGAACAUCAGUGGCGAAGGCGACUCCCUGGCCAAAGACUGACGCUCAUGUGCGAAAGUGUGGGUAGCGAACAGGAUUAGAUACCCUGGUAGUCCACACCGUAAACGCUGUCUACCUUUUGUGACUUUAAGUCGUGAGUAGCGAAGCUAACGCGCUAAGUAGACCGCCUGG